rnacentral:rRNA from 1 species
UACGGAGGGUGCGAGCGUUGUCCGGAAUCACUGGGCGUAAAGGGCGCGUAGGCGGCCUCCGGCAGUCUGUGGUGAAACGCCCAGGGCUCAACUCUGGGUCGGCCACGGAUACUCCGGGGCUGGAGCACACUAGAGGCGGAUGGAAUUCCGGGUGUAGCGGUGGAAUGCGUAGAGAUCCGGAAGAACACCGGUGGCGAAGGCGGUCCGCUGGGGUGUUGC